UCCAGGAGAACCUGAAACUUUCUGCCAAUAGAGUCAAUGAAAUAAAGUUAAAGGAAAUCAAAAGGACGAGCAGUGCCAACCUGCUGCUCGCCUUCUGGCUGCACUUGAAGCUGGAAGAGAGAAAUGUGUCUCUGCUCCUGCGCUCCCAGCUGGAGGAGCUGCUUGGCACCUUGGUAGGAGCGGAGAAACUGAAGCUUGUUUCACUGUUCGUUGAAGAUGUGAAUGAGUGCACCGCUGGGGUCGGCCUCUGUGGGGAGGAGGCGGAGUGCUUCAAUGGCGUGGGCACGUACCUGUGCCGCUGCAAAAAGGACUACGAAGAUCAUUCUCCCACCAAGUCUGGCACCCUCUGCAUCCAUGCUCCCCAAUCAGG